AUGGCUGUGGCAUUCAUGAACACUUAUGCAUCACUAUGAUAAGUGUGGAUGGAAUUAUAAAGUCCUCGAGAGCAUAGAUGUUUGAUUGUAUCUCUAUAUAUCUACGUCAAUAUAUCCGGAACUUAUUUGUAUAUACAUCUUUAUUCAUGGCGAAAACAUGAAUAAAAGUACUCCACUAUGUGUGGAAGCUGUUCUCCAUCAAUUUCUAUAACAUGGAGAAGAAAAGAAUAGAAGAAAAUAUACGUUUCCAAAAGUGGAAUUACUGGAUAAGAAGCCUUAGGACAGUGCUUGGUGCAAAUUCAGGAGCCAGGAAGUCCAAGAUCAAGGCAUCAGCAGAUCUGAUGUCUGGUAAGGGCUGGUUUUCUUCUUCAAAGAUGGCACCUUGUUGCUGCAUCUUCACAUGGUGGAAGGAGUCAAAGAUUUCUUGAGCUUCUUUGGUAACAGCACUAAUUUCAUUCAUGAAGGAAGAGCCCUCAUGGUCUAGUCACCUCCUAAAGGGCCCUCCUCUCAGUUCCUCACAAUGGGGAUGAGGUUUAAUAUGCAUUUUAAAGGGUCACAGACAUUCCGAUCAUAGGAAGAUUGAUUUGCGUUGUUUCAUACAUCAGUACCCUAUUCUGUUUUCUUGCUGAGUAGUAUUUCACAGUGUGGAUAUGCCACAUAUUUUGUUUCUUUACUCAUUUGUUGGUAGAUAUGUAGAUUUUUUUCAAGGUUGUAUCUGUUAUGAAUAAAACUGCUGUAAGCAUUCA
rnacentral:lncRNA from 13 species